AUUGAACGCUGGCGGCAGGCCUAACACAUGCAAGUCGAACGAGGGGCGGAUGGGUGAGUCAUAUGUAGGAACCUGGCCGUUGGGGGGGGAGAACUACUGGGAACGGUAGCUCAUACCGCGUACCAUCGCAUGUGGCCCGAUGGGAUUAGCUUGUAGGUGAGGUAACGGCUCACCUGGGCGACGAUCCCUAGCCGGUCUGAGAGGAUGAUCAGCCACACUGGAACUGAGACACGGUCCAGACUCCUACGGGAGGCAGCAGUGGGGAAUAUUGCACAAUGGGCGCAAGCCUGAUGCAGCCAUGCCGCGUGUAUGAAGAAGGCCUUCGGGUUGUAAAGUACUUUCAGCGGGGAGGCGUUACCCACAGAAGAAGCACCGGCUAACUCCGUGCCAGCAGCCGCGGUAAUUC
rnacentral:rRNA from 1 species